UUGACCACAUCAUAAAGGGAAAACCUUAUCCAUUAAGUGAAUAAAAAAAUAUAAGGAUUAACUUUUGGUUAUUAAGUAUUUCUAUCCAUUCUUUGCAAUGUUUUCUAACGAAAACCAGUAGCUAACACGAAAAUGAGUGAUCUCUCGGCCAAGACUUGAUCUUGAUGCUAGUCAAGGUUUUAUACUGGUUACUCCUUUAUGACUUAAAGGAUUCAAACGUCUAUUCCCUCCGGGUUAUAGCAAAGCAAAGUAAGGUGGAAGAAGAUUGUAGAAAAAGAUUUUGGACGAAACGGGAUUUGAAUUUGGAGAGGCGUAAGGAGCGAAUAAGGUACAGACGCACAGUUUGGUGAUCCACCAGUUUAGGACACCCUCUUCUGCUGUUUGGAGUGCUUCUCUUAUUCCGGAGCCUACAUUUUGGUAUAUAUACUCAUUCGUUGCAUAUGUAUAUAUUUGUUCAGGGGUACGGCGGGUCCCUGUCCCGCCAUAUGAUCUGUUUGGUCUGUUUAGAGGUCUGUAGACGUAUUUGUGGGUGUGUGUGCCUACUUCUGUUCAGAUGUGUUUGUAUGAUCCUAUUCGCUAUGGUAGCCUUGUCGGCGUGCAUUCGUAUUUGUUUUGGGGCCGUUGUGCCAUUUGAUAGCCUUGUCGGCUUUUGAUAUAUGUAUAUGCAUAUGCAUAUGGUUGCGUUUGAAAUAUGUCUAAGACAGUUUGAUAUAGUUGAGGCGGCGUAUAAUGAUUAUGGCCGUAUAUGAUUUGUGGCAGUAUGUGAUUCGAUUUGGAUAAGUGUGUUACGAUUUGAUAUGUUUGUCUGUCUGGGUGUCCAAGUAGGGCACCAGUCGCGGCCCACGGGGUUGGGUCGUGACACUUGUCCUACGGUGGCUACGUAGUUUCAAGCUAUCUGAGCCUUCUCGGUAAUUUGUGCAACUCCCAAAAACAUGAACAUGAUUUAAUUGGCUAAGAAGCCCAUGA